rnacentral:rRNA from 1 species
AUGGCGUACUCCUCCUGUUUGAAUCGGAGUUUGAAACCAAACAAACUUCUCCUCAGGAGGAUAUAUGGGGCGAUUCAGGUGAGAUCCCAUGUAGAUCUAACUUUCUAUUCACUCGUGGGAUCCGGGCGGUCCGGGGGAGCUAUCUCUCGAGCACAGGUUGAGGUUCGUCCUCAAUGGGAAAAUGGAGCACCUAACAAUGCAUCUUCACAGACCAAGAACUACGAGAUCACCCCUUUCAUUCUGGGGUGA